rnacentral:rRNA from 1 species
GAUCAUGGCUCAGAGCGAACGCUGGCGGCAGGCUUAACACAUGCAAGUCGAGCGCCCCGCAAGGGGAGCGGCAGACGGGAGAGUAACACGUGGGAACAUACCUUUGGUUCGGAACAACUGAGGGAAACUUCAGCUAAUACCGGAUAAGCCCUUACGGGGAAAGAUUUAUCGCCGAAAGAUUGGCCCGCGUCUGAUUAGCUAGUUGGUGAGGUAACGGCUCACCAAGGCGACGAUCAGUAGCUGGUCUGAGAGGAUGAUCAGCCUCAUUGGGACUGAGACACGGCCCAAACUCCUACGGGAGGCAGCAGUGGGGAAUAUUGGACAAUGGGCGCAAAGCCUGAUCCAGCCAUGCCGCGUGAGUGAUGAAGGCCUUAGGGUUGUAAAGCUCUUUUAACGGGGAAGAUAAUGACGGUACCCGUAGAAUAAGCCCCGGCUAACUUCGUGCCAGCCGCGGC